AACGUAGGAGACAAACGUUAUCCGGAGUUACUGGGCGUAAAGGGCGUGUAGGUGGUUUCGUAAGUCUGGCGUGAAAUUUCUCGGCUUAACCGAGGCAGGUCGUCGGAUACUGCGAGGCUAGAGGACGGUAGAGGCGUGUGGAAUUCCGGGUGUAGUGGUGAAAUGCGUAGAGAUCCGGAGGAACACCAGUGGCGAAGGCGACACGC
rnacentral:rRNA from 1 species